UACAGAGGUCCCGAGCGUUGUUCGGAUUCACUGGGCGUAAAGGGUGCGUAGGUGGCUAUCGAAAGUUUGAUGUGAAAGCUCCGGGCUCAACCCGGAAAUGGCAUUGAAUACUGCGGAGCUAGAGGGUUGGAGGGGAGACUGGAAUACUUGGUGUAGCAGUGAAAUGCGUAGAUAUCAAGUGGAACACCGGUGGCGAAGGCGAGUCUCUGGACAACUCCUGACACUGAGGCACGAAAGCUAGGGGAGCAAACAGGAUUAGAAACCCCCGUAGUCC
rnacentral:rRNA from 1 species